AUGACGCAGACCCCAAAAUAUAUCUCAGUGUCUCCAGGAGAGAAUCUUCAGAUAAACUGUAAAUCAGGUUCUGAUGUUACUCACUCAGAUGGUGACAGUCUAAUAUAUUGGUUCCAAAAGAAAGCCGAUCAACCGCCAAAACGUCUUAUCUAUUGGGGAACCAAUCGCCAGUCUGGAGUCCCGGAGAGGUUCAGUGGCAGUAGAUCCGGAUCUCCGUAUGAUUAUUUUACUCUUACAAUCAGUGGAGCUCAACUGGAAGAUGAAGCCGAGUAUUACUGUAUGCAGAGCAAGAGCGUCCCUCUCACACAGUGA